GAUGAACGCUAGCGGGAGGCUUAACACAUGCAAGUCGAGGGGCAGCAUAGGGUAGCAAUACUCUGAUGGCGACCGGCAAACGGGUGAGUAACGCGUAUGCAACCUACCCUGUACAGGGGGAUAACCCGGAGAAAUUCGGACUAAUAUCCCGUAAUAAUAUCCGGAGGCAUCUUUGGAUAUUUAAAGUUCCGACGGUACGGGAUGGGCAUGCGUAACAUUAGCUGGUUGGUAAGGUAACGGCUUACCAAGGCUAUGAUGUUUAGGGGUCCUGAGAGGGUGGUCCCCCACACUGGUACUGAGACACGGACCAGACUCCUACGGGAGGCAGCAGUGAGGAAUAUUGGUCAAUGGGCGCAAGCCUGAACCAGCCAUCCCGCGUGCAGGAAGACGGCCCUAUGGGUUGUAAACUGCUUUUCCAGGGAGAGAAACUUACGCACGUGUUGCGUGACUGACGGUACCCUGGGAAUAAGCAUCGGCUAACUCCGUGCCAGCAGCCGCGGUAAUAGUGUGUGUACG
rnacentral:rRNA from 1 species